GCGGAGUGAAAUCUUCUCUUGGAGGGAAGCGAGUGUAGGUCAUGGCAUCGCCGCCUUAGUGGAUCGGGAAAGAGAUAAUUUUGGAACAUGGAUAUUUUGCACAAAAACUCAAAUGCUGGCAGCAAAGGCCUUAGUUAACAGAGCAGUCUUUUGGUUGAACCACACAACUCCAAUGACCAUUGCCACGAAUGCAAGCAGCCCUGCAGCACCUCCAGCUAUGGUCGCAUACUUUGACAUAUGUCUCAUUUCGGGAAGCGAUAAGGCCGAUAUUGAGUAUCCACUUGGGAAAUAGAGACUUGACAGAGAUCAAUGCUGCUAAAAUCUAAAUAAGGAAAGAAGGUGAAUUUGGAGACAAACAGAAUAACUCAAGCAGUCAAGCAGAAGAUAUUACCCUGUCUUGUACUGCUGAUGAAUCCAUGUUGGCUCAAAUCCUGCAUUGGUUGUCAAGACCAAGUGUGUUUGCUUCACAAUUAACUUCCUCGGACAGAAGGCAAAGUGCUCUGGAUGUAUGUAAAAAAACUUCCACGUGGACAUGUUUUGAACUUAUACUGAGACCAUCUUUCAAGCUUAGUAGCAUCUCUUUGUGGAAUCUCUAGUCUAUCUAUAACCUAAAAAAAAAUCAAAGCCCAUGUGGGAAGUUGUUACCAACUGUAAAUAUUAUCAUUUUUACUAUAAAGAUGGGGACACUUAUGAAAAAAAAAACUCCUCCUCCCGUGCAUAAUGCUCUCACAAUGGGCGGAGGAAAGUGUCUUUAGUAGGAGAUAUAAUUACGGAAGGGGGAUCAAAAGAAAUGUUGUUAUCAUCUCUCAAUUCCAAGUCCUUUUUGCCCUUUGUCAUCUGAUCUGGAAAGAAGAGAGGACAUUCCCAUUUUAGUACGGUGAGACAGGACUCUUCCUAAGAUGGGGUCAUGACUACGAAGCCAACACAGGACAUCAAAAAGUAAGACUCUCCAGUUUCCAUGGCUACAUGCUGCUGUUUAGGUAUGAAUUUUAGCUGUUUUGGGAAAAUGGGUAAUUGAAUGUUCCUCACCAUUUGCCUGUUUUUUUUUUUUUUUUUUUUUGUAUAUUAUCAUUUCUUUUGCUUGUGGUUGUUGAGCUGUGACUAUGAUCAAGGGUGGGGAAGGUUAUUGAGCUGUACUGUACUACCCCUCCCCCCCCCCCUCAUUUAUUUAGCUUGUCUGUUUGUUUCCCGGUAUUGCAGUGCUUUGUUUGCUGGAAAGUAGUGUAAGAUUGAUGGAAAGGUGAUUGUCAUGUUAUGCAGCUCUGUAUGGUGCUUGAAUACAAGAAAGUAAGAAACCCUUGUCAGAGGUUAAAGACUAGAGAGAGAGAGAGGAAGAUUUCUUAAACAAGAAUGUUGUUUGGUUCUGUUGUCUCAGGCUGACAGCAAGCAAGCAAGUGGUGCUGUUUUUGCAUGGCCUGACUGUAAAAAGACUUGUUUCUAUAUUUCUUGGUUUGAAGACUAACAUACAAUUCUGGGAUAUUUAGCACUUAUUAGUGUUAUUUGUUCUUAUUUGAACAUGUGCAUGUGUAGCCUUUUGGGCAUUUGGAAUUGAUUUGAGAGUCUUGUGGCCAUGGAAAGGUGUUCAUGGUAAGGUUUCAUUCAUCUGAUCUGUGCAUGUAUGUAUGCCUGGAUUGAAAAUGAGAGUUUGUGAAGGGGGACCAUGUUGUUUGUU